rnacentral:rRNA from 1 species
UGCAGUCGAGCGGAUGAAUGGAGCUUGCUCCAUGAUUCAGCGGCGGACGGGUGAGUAAUGCCUAGGAAUCUGCCUGGUAGUGGGGGACAACGUUUCGAAAGGAACGCUAAUACCGCAUACGUCCUACGGGAGAAAGUGGGGGAUCUUCGGACCUCACGCUAUCAGAUGAGCCUAGGUCGGAUUAGCUAGUUGGCGAGGUAAAGGCUCACCAAGGCGACGAUCCGUAACUGGUCUGAGAGGAUGAUCAGUCACACUGGAACUGAGACACGGUCCAGACUCCUACGGGAGGCAGCAGUGGGGAAUAUUGGACAAUGGGCGAAAGCCUGAUCCAGCCAUGCCGCGUGUGUGAAGAAGGUCUUCGGAUUGUAAAGCACUUUAAGUUGGGAGGAAGGGCAGUAAGUUAAUACCUUGCUGUUUUGACGUUACCGACAGAAUAAGCACCGGCUAGCUUCGUGCCAGCA